rnacentral:RNase_P_RNA from 1 species
UUAGUAGGUCGGAUAAUCGCAAGCAGUUUCUGCUUGAGGAAAGUCCGGGCUCCAUAGAGUAGGAUGCUGGAUAACGUCCAGCCGGAGGAAUCCGCGGGCUAGUGCCACAGAAAGGAUACCGCCAAUUUAGUUGGUAAGGGUGAAAGGGUGCGGUAAAAGCGCACCGGAGUUUUGGUGACAAAACUAGCAUGGUAAACCCCAUCCGGAGCAAGGCGAAAUAGGGGAAGGGCAAGAGUUACUCGCUCGACUUCCCGGGUAAAGCUGCUAAAACUAAUAAGUGAUUAUUAGUUUAGAUGGAUGAUUAUCACUCGCAAGGGCAUACAGAACCCGGCUUAUAGACCUACUAAUGUU